UGCCAGACUCCUACGGGAGGCAGCAGUGAGGAAUAUUGGUCAAUGGCCGGGAGGCUGAACCAGCCAAGUCGCGUGAGGGAAGACGGCCCUACGGGUUGUAAACCUCUUUUGUCAGGGAGCAAGGUGCAGGUCGGGACCUGCUGUGAGAGUACCUGAAGAAAAAGCAUCGGCUAACUCCGUGCCAGCAGCCGCGGUAAUACGGAGGAUGCGAGCGUUAUCCGGAUUUAUUGGGUUUAAAGGGUGCGUAGGCGGAUUUUUAAGUCAGCGGUAAAAUGUCCGGGCUCAACCCGGGCCGGCCGUUGAAACUGGGGAUCUUGAGUGGGCGAGAAGUAUGCGGAAUGCGUGGUGUAGCGGUGAAAUGCAUAGAUAUCACGCAGAACUCCGAUUGCGAAGGCAGCAUACCGGGGCCCGACUGACGCUGAGGCACG
rnacentral:rRNA from 1 species